AUGCCCCACGUCAUCCGGAUCGGAGGAAUCUUUGAGUAUGCAGACGGUCCCAACGCCCAGGUCAUGAAUGCCAAGGAGCAUGCCUUUCGAUUUUCUGCCAACAUCAUCAACAGGAACCGGACUCUGCUGCCCAACACUACCUUGACCUAUGACAUCCAGAGGAUUCACUUCCACGAUAGCUUUGAAGCCACCAAGAAGGCCUGUGACCAGCUGGCACUGGGCGUGGUGGCGAUCUUCGGGCCAUCACAGGGCUCCUGCACCAACGCCGUCCAGUCCAUCUGCAAUGCCCUGGAGGUGCCCCACAUCCAGCUGCGCUGGAAGCACCACCCGCUGGACAACAAGGACACCUUCUACGUGAACCUCUACCCUGACUACGCCUCUCUCAGCCACGCCAUCCUUGACCUGGUUCAGUACCUCAAGUGGCGGUCGGCCACCGUGGUCUAUGAUGACAGUACAGGGCUCAUCCGACUGCAGGAGCUCAUCAUGGCCCCUUCGAGAUACAACAUCCGCCUGAAGAUCCGCCAGCUGCCCCUGGACUCUGACGACUCACGCCCGCUGCUCAAGGAGAUGAAGCGAGGCCGGGAAUUCCGCAUCAUCUUCGACUGCAGCCACACCAUGGCUGCCCAGAUCCUCAAGCAGGCCAUGGCCAUGGGCAUGAUGACCGAGUACUACCACUUCAUAUUCACCACUCUGGAUCUUUAUGCGCUAGACCUGGAGCCCUACCGCUACUCGGGGGUGAAUCUGACAGGGUUCCGGAUCCUCAAUGUGGACAACCCCCAUGUCUCGGCCAUCGUGGAGAAGUGGUCCAUGGAGCGGCUACAGGCAGCCCCCCGGGCCGAGUCCGGGCUGCUGGAUGGAGUGAUGAUGACCGACGCCGCCUUGCUGUAUGAUGCCGUGCACAUCGUGUCCGUGUGCUACCAGCGGGCACCCCAGAUGACCGUGAAUUCCCUGCAGUGCCACCGGCACAAGGCGUGGCGCUUCGGCGGCCGCUUCAUGAAUUUCAUCAAGGAGGCUCAAUGGGAAGGAUUAACUGGACGGAUUGUUUUCAACAAAACCAGUGGCUUACGGACCGAUUUCGAUCUGGACAUCAUCAGUCUGAAGGAGGACGGCCUGGAGAAGGUUGGGGUGUGGAGUCCUACCGAGGGACUCAAUAUCACAGAGGUCCCCAAAGGCCGAGGUCCUAAUGUCACCGACUCUCUGACAAAUCGGUCACUCGUCGUCACCACAGUGCUGGAGGAGCCCUUUGUCAUGUUCCGGAAGUCUGACAGGACCCUGUUUGGGAAUGACCGGUUCGAGGGCUACUGCAUUGACCUGCUCAAGGAACUGGCCCACAUCCUGGGCUUCUCCUACGAGAUCCGGCUGGUGGAGGACGGCAAGUACGGGGCGCAGGACGACAAGGGCCAGUGGAACGGCAUGAUCAAGGAGCUCAUUGACCAUAAGGCGGACCUGGCCGUGGCCCCCCUGACCAUCACCCAUGUGCGCGAGAAGGCCAUUGACUUCUCCAAGCCCUUCAUGACGCUCGGUGUCAGCAUCCUCUAUCGCAAGCCCAACGGCACCAACCCCAGUGUCUUCUCCUUCCUCAACCCCCUGUCCCCUGACAUCUGGAUGUAUGUGCUGCUCGCCUACCUGGGUGUCAGCUGUGUCCUCUUUGUCAUCGCCAGGUUCAGCCCUUACGAGUGGUACGAUGCUCACCCCUGCAACCCUGGCUCCGAGGUGGUGGAAAACAACUUCACUCUGCUGAACAGCUUCUGGUUCGGAAUGGGGUCCCUGAUGCAGCAAGGGUCUGAACUGAUGCCCAAAGCCCUGUCCACGCGCAUCAUCGGUGGCAUCUGGUGGUUCUUCACGCUCAUCAUCAUCUCCUCCUACACGGCCAACCUGGCCGCCUUUCUGACCGUGGAGCGCAUGGAAUCACCCAUCGACUCUGCGGAUGACCUGGCCAAGCAAACCAAAAUCGAGUAUGGAGCGGUCAAGGACGGGGCCACCAUGACCUUCUUCAAGAAAUCCAAGAUCUCCACCUUCGAGAAGAUGUGGGCCUUCAUGAGCAGCAAGCCCUCGGCGCUGGUGAAGAACAACGAGGAGGGCAUCCAGAGGACGCUGACCGCCGACUACGCGCUGCUCAUGGAGUCCACCACCAUCGAGUACGUCACCCAGAGGAACUGCAACCUCACCCAGAUCGGGGGCCUCAUCGACUCCAAGGGCUACGGCAUCGGCACACCCAUGGGCUCCCCGUACCGGGACAAGAUCACCAUCGCCAUCCUGCAGCUGCAGGAGGAGGACAAGCUGCACAUCAUGAAGGAGAAGUGGUGGCGGGGCAGCGGGUGUCCCGAGGAGGAGAACAAAGAGGCCAGCGCCCUGGGGAUCCAGAAGAUCGGGGGCAUCUUCAUCGUCCUGGCCGCCGGGCUGGUUCUGUCAGUGCUGGUGGCCGUGGGCGAGUUUGUGUACAAGCUCCGCAAGACAGCAGAGCGAGAGCAGCGUUCCUUCUGCAGCACCGUGGCCGACGAGAUCCGUUUUGCUCUCACCUGCCAACGUCGGGUCAAGCACAAGCCGCAGCCUCCCAUGAUGGUCAAGACGGAUGCCGUCAUCAACAUGCACACGUUCAAUGACCGCCGGCUUCCGGGCAAGGACAGCAUGACCUGCAGCACAUCACUGGCCCCCGUUUUCCCCUGAGCACUGGUAGGGUGGGGACCCCAGGCCCAGGGGCAGGGUGGAGGAAAGCAAAAGAGACUGGAAGGCACGUCCCUGUCCCCACACUGGGCUUGGGGACCAGAGCUGCUGCCUGCCUAUUGGGCCAAGAGCCCUCUGCCCUCACCUCCUGGGAAACCAGCAGGCCCCCAGGCCAGCUGCUUGAGCUCCAUCUCGUCUUGUUUCUUCUGUGGGUUUCCAAAGCUGCCAGCCGAGACAGCCACGGCCAAAGGAAGCACACGCCUCUCUCAGGCCAUGCUCACCUGCGCCUCCACCUUCCUCCACAGUCACCAGUUUCUGCCACGGCCCUGCAGGGGCCAGAGAAAAUAGCUCUUUUAUUGCCACUCCUUCCCCAUCAGCCCAGUUCUCCUGGGGCUUGACUACGAGACCAGAGACACAUACCCUGGACAUGGCAGGGGUGUUCUCAUGUGGCUGACAGUGGGACAGUGGGAGCUACAGACAGCGGAUGGCCAUCUGCAUGCCUGGGCAGAGGGAAGACCUCAUCCCCUGGGGGCUGCUCAGAGGCUUCUGAAUUCCUGGAUUUGGCACCAAUCAUGGUAGCCCCUGUUUGGGCAAAGUUGAAUGCAGAGAGCACCAUAGGGGAAAAGAGGAGUUUGGGGUCUGGGAGAGGCUGCCAUUUUGAAUUCUACGGUCAGUGUCUAAUGGCCACACUUCUUUAGGAGAGAGGGAGAAGAGUCGAAGCAAACUCUUCUCCACUUUCUGGCCAGAGGAGAGACAACCCCCUGAAACUCUCAAAAAAGACACCCAGAGACUCAGCCAACAUUUGAGGCCCAGAGGAACAGUGGUUUCCAUGGAAAUCCCAUAGGCCUUCACGUCAUGGGAUCUUAUUUUGCUGGUUACCAAGCUGCUUUUCAGACCCUGAUGGCAUGAGGGAGCUUGGGCUGUUUGCCUUCCACUCAUCAGCAACUCCCACUGCUGGCCGGUUGGCCUUAAGAUCCUUCGUCAUUCUGGGAGAAGAGUAGCCUAGAUCAAAGUGAAAGUCGAUUCACCUUCCUCAAAAGAGGGGUCCAGGUCCCAGGCACAGGCUAACUUUGUGGUAGGUGGGAAAACUAGAAGGGCCCUGAAGAACUCCCGGCCUCCUGGUCUUGCCAAACCUAAAGAUACCCCCCAAAAAAUGAAGUUUUAGGGGGCAGGAUAUCAUGGCUGGUAGAGGCUCCAAAGGUGGGAAGAUAGAAGCUGCCUUUUGGAGAAUUAACCAAAGACCCCAAACAAAGACACAAGGUCAUCCUGGAGCCUGGUCUCUUGUCCAGAGCAGCUGGGACCUUGUAGGGCUUGGGGACUCGGCAGAGGAGUAGUAGCAGGCGGGGUACCAGUGAGGGGUAGACCAGAUGGCCUGUAGGUUCCAGCCAGCUGUGAUGGAUGUUCUAGAGGUUUGUGACUUUAAGCGUCUGGGGAAAGAAUGCGACAUGAAAGGUUUAUGAGCAAAGUGUCCUUAAAGAGAACCUGAUAGGGCCAGUAGGGCUUUCCACCGCCAAGGGCAGAGGGCAUUCUCCCACCAGGGGAUGAGGACUGAAUCUGGAUGGGGACCCAGAGGCACCAGCCACCCCCUCCUACCUCUCUCCUGUUUCUGCUUGAGGAGCCUGGUUAGGGAAGAGCUACAUUUAGGUCUCAAGGACCUUCUCAGCUGGGGGAAAGGGUAAGCUCUAGCUCCCCCAGGGACUUCCAAAGCAGUAGAGCACAGUGGGCUCAUGUGACAAGUACUGCCACUCCUACGAAUCAGAGUCGCUCCAGCAGGCUGUGUGCACGGGAGGUAGAAGAAGCCGGACAUGCAGUGUAGCCAACACAUGUAACAAUAGGAAAAGCCAUGCUGUCAUGAGCUCCUGGGUGCAAGAGUAUGUGGUGCAUAUAUGUGUAUCUGUGUCUUUAUAUGUGUGAGUUUUGGGGACUGGGGGAGAAGGACAGAUUUGGACAUAUACAGAGUCCAGGGCAUGCAAUAAUAGGGAAUCCUUUGGGUUCUGGUGUGUGUGUGUGUGUGUGUGUGUGUGUGUACACACGUGUCAUGUGUGUGAAUUGAGAAUGAAGGAGACAAUUCUGGACAAGCAGCAGAGCUCCAUACAUGUAAAAAUAGGAGAAGCCAUGUCAUAAUGGGGUGCUGGUGAAUAUAUAUAUAUAUA